rnacentral:rRNA from 1 species
UACGUAGGGAGCAAGCGUUGUUCGGAUUUACUGGGCGUAAAGGGCGCGUAGGCGGCGCGGUAAGUCGGGUGUGAAAUCUCGGAGCUUAACUCCGAAACUGCAUUCGAUACUGCCGUGCUUGAGGACUGGAGAGGAGACUGGAAUUUACGGUGUAGCGGUGAAAUGCGUAGAUAUCGUAAGGAAGACCAGUGGCGAAGGCGGGUCUCUGGACAGUUCCUGACGCUGAGGCACGAAGGUCAGGGGAGCAAACGGG